CAGAGCCCCGAUCCGGCGGCCCCAAGGACCCAGGAGACCCAGCCGGGACAGCCGGGCGGCGGGAGCAGGGAGCGCCGGGACCAGGGAGGGUCGGAGGCGGGCCGGGACCAUGCGGGGCGUCGGGAGCCGGGGGGACCGGCGGGGUUCCGGGAGCCGGGGGGGCCGGCGGAGUUCCAGAAGCCGGGGAGGCCGGCGGAGGUUCAGGGGCCGGGGUGACCGGCGGAGGUUCAGGGGCCGGGGUGACCGGCGGGGGUUCAGGGGCCGGGGUGACCGGCGGGGGUUCAGGGGCCGGGGUGACCGGCGGAGGUUCAGGGGCCGGGGUGACCGGCGGAGGUUCAGGGGCCGGGGUGACCGGCGGGGGUUCAGGGGCCGGGGUGACCGGCGGGGGUUCAGGGGCCGGGGUGACCGGCG
ensembl:lncRNA